UGGCCACAUCAUGUUGAAACACCAGUUCCUGUCUAAUCACCAAAGUUAAGCAACAGCGUGCCUGAUCAGUACCUAGAUGGGUGAGCCCUUUUGAAUACCAGGUGAUGUAA